AAGAAGGGAAAGAUAAGGAAAGAAAAGUGAAGGAAAAUGAGCUAAAAAAAUGGAAAAAUAAAGGAAAUGAAAUAAAAGGAAGGGAAAUAAAGGAAUAUAAGCUAAAAAUGAAGGAAAAUAAACUAGAAAAAUAAAGGAAAUGAAAGAAAACAAAGAAAGACAAGGGAAAUUAAACUAAAAAUAAAGGAAAAUGUGAUCGAGGAAGUUUAUAAAAAAAUGGAAAUUGUACAGAAAGUCGAGAAUGCAAAGAAAACAAUACGAAACAAAAGACAGUAAAAGGCGCCAUGUGUGUGGGAGCGAAAAAUCAAAUGGAAAAAACCAAGUAAAGAAGAAAAUGAAACCGAGAAUACAAGAAAGAAAACGAAAGAAACACAAAACUUCAAAACAAUGGAGGAAAACGGGAAACACAGAGGAAGGGGAAGAAGCAAAAAUAAUGACUUCUUCCUCCUCCACCUCCUCUUCCCUCUCCUCCACCCCGAACACUUAACUAAUGUAUGGAAUGUGAGUGUGGAGGAGGGAAGAAAAGGAAGGGAGGGAAAAGGAAAGAAGUGCAAGAAAACGAAACAAAUGAGAGAAAUGCGAGAAGCGAAAGGAAAAUUAGAGACAGAAAGAUUAACUAAUGUGAGUGUGGAGGAGAAAGGGGGAACUAAAGAAGACUGAAAACGAAGCAGAAGAAAAGAAAACGAGAGAGCAAACGAAAUGAAAGGAAUAUAAGGAAAACAGGAGGAUAAGAAACUAUGGGAAAAAAACCCACUUAGAUAACGUAAUGUGGAGGCGAAACGGAAUAAAAGUUGAGAUAGAGGAAAAUAAUAGAUGAAAAAAACUGUGCGAAGAAGAGGAGAGGGGGAAAGAAGGGGACAAAAAAGAGUGAAAUGGAAAAAUAUGAAGCAGAUGAAAUAAAUACAAAAAAUAUAUACAGGGAAAAAAAUACUAUUAGAAAGAACGUACGGAAAAGUUAUUAAAUGCAAAUGCGAAGGAGAGGAGCGGAGAGGGGAGGGGAAAGAAGAAGAGGAGAAGAGAGAGUAAAAAGGAAAACUAAUUAAUGGAGCAGAUGAAAUAAUACAAGAAAGAUAUACACGAAAAAAAAACUAGUAAAAAACACGUACAGGAAAGCAAGUUAGUUAAUGUGAUAUACGUGUGAGGGAGAGGAGAGGACAGGGAUAAAGAAGAAAAUUAAAGGAGUGAAACGGAAAGAAUAAACCAAAUAAAAAUAAAUACAAGAAAGAUAUACAUGAAAAAAAACUAUUUAAAAGCCUAAACAAAAAAGUUAUUUAAUGUAUUUGUGAAGGAGAGGAGGAGAAGAGAAGGAAGAGGAAAGAAAGACUGCAAGAAAAAACUGAAGCAGAUGAAGAAAAAAACACGAGAAAUAAAAAAGGAUAAUUUGAAACCGUGCAGACAGUGUGAAAUUAAAAGUAAGUUGAUAUGACAGACAAACGAUAUAAUGCCUUAGAAGUAUUAUCCACAGACGAUCUAGAGACAAACAGAUCUUGGGAUGAAAAAUGAAAACGAAGCAGAAAAGAGAAAAAUAGCAGUUAGUUAAUUCUUAAGGUCACAUACACAGUUAAUUAGAGUGCGAUAGAGUGUGUUUGGGGUUAAUGAAUGGUAGUGCGAGAUGGAUAAUUACUUGGGAAGAUUAGGAGAAAGCAGAGGAUAAAGGAGAAGAGAAAGACAGAGAUAAGUGAAAAAGUGAGUUUGUCAAUGGAGAGCGUUUGUGUGAAGGGAAACUAUUAUACGAUGUUUGAAUUUGAGAAUAGUAAAAGAGAACAGAGGAUAAAGGAGAAGGAGAUAAAUGCAAAGAGGAUAAAAAAAAAACACAGAAGGUGACUUUAAUAACGGAGUGAAAGAGUGAAGGAAAAUUGAGACAAAAUGAAUGAAAAUGAGGUCAAGAGAAGAGGGUAUGUAAAUAAUGAAAGAAAUACGAAGAGAAUCACAAACCACGUAAACAGUAAGUGAAUUUAGUGAAGUGUUUAUGGAAUGAAAAACAGUUAUAAGAACGAUGAAUUUAAGAAUAUAAAGAGAAAAACAGAAGAACUGGAAAUAAUGAAAGAAAUGCAAAGAGAAUCAGAAACUACAUGUCCAGUACGUGAAUUUAGUGAUGAGAAAAUACUAAGAGAAAAACAGAAGAAAUGGAAAUAAUGAAAGAGACAAAGGGAAUCGGAAACUACAUGUCCAAUACGUGAAUUUAGUGAUGAGUUUGUGUGAUGAAAACAAUUCUAAAAACGAUGACUUAGAGAUUACUGACGACAAUACAUACGAUAGCAUUACAAAGAAGACCAGAACCCAAGCCCUCACGAGAUACAUACAUACAGGAAACCAUAGGCAGCGACUUACCUGUCCUGACCUGUGAUUGGCUGGGAGAAGGGUGACAAGGACGACAAGACACACAUGACCUUUCCUUCUGAUUUGGUGGUGCAAACGCUCACUCAGGUAUUUCGGCCACCACCUUCUGGCACCUGGCUGAUGAGGUGUUUGAUUAUCACCUCACACCUGUGGACGCAUACACGAACACACACACACCUGCACACCAACACA